ACCGGUAUGGUGCAGUGGUAAGUUUCUAUACUGUUGCUUCUCAUUUGUCUCCUGAGUCUAACAACUUUGCAGGUUAGCAUAUUGGAUUUUCAGAAUCUGGAAACCUCCAAAGACAGGAGUUCAAACCUCCUUAUCGGUG